GGGAUGACGCAGGAGGAUAGGAUGUGCACACUAUUGGAUGUGUGUCUAAGCACUUAGGCAGGCUGGAUUGGAAAAUCCGUUCAGUCAAUGCUGAGGUGUUACAGGGAUCCCUUUCGGGAGAAGUAUCUGAUUCCACGCUGCCAAGAAAAGUCUCUAUGGAGUAAGUUUGUGCCCGUACCGCAAACCGACACAGGUAGGUGAGGAGAGAAUCCUAAGACCAUCGGAAGAAUUGUUGUUAAGGAACUAGGCAAAUUAACUCCGUAACUUAGGGAUAAGGAGUGCCCCGAAAGGGGCCGCAGAGAAUAGGCUCAAGCAACUGUUUAUCAAAAACACAGGUCUCUGCUAAAGCGAAAGCUGAAGUAUAGGGGCUGACGCCUGCCCGGUGCUGGAAGGUUAAGGGGAAUACUUAGCGCAAGCGAAGGUAUGAACUUAAGCCCCAGUAAACGGCGGCCGUAACUAUAACGGUCCUAAGGUAGCGAAAUUCCUUGUCGGGUAAGUUCCGACCCGCACGAAUGGCGUAAUGAUUUGAGCACUGUCUCGACAACAAAUCCGGCGAAAUUGUAGUGCAAGUGAAGAUGCUUGCUACCCGCGAUUGGACGGAAAGACCCCGUAGAGCUUUACUGCAGUUUAGCAUUGAGUUUCGGUAUUGUCUGUACAGGAUAGGUGGGAGACUUGGAUAUUAGGGCGCCAGCCCUUUUGGAGUCGCCCUUGGGAUACCACCCUGACAGUACUGGAAUUCUAACCGGCGGCCAUGAAACUGGUCACGGGACAUUGUUAGGCAGGCAGUUUGACUGGGGCGGUCGCCUCCUAAAAUGUAACGGAGGCGCCCAAAGGUUCCCUCAGAAGGGUCGGAAAUCCUUCGAAGAGUGCAAAGGCAUAAGGGAGCCUGACUGCGACACAUACAGGUGGAGCAGGGACGAAAGUCGGGCUUAGUGAUCCGGUGGUACCUCGUGGGAGGGCCAUCGCUCAACGGAUAAAAGCUACCUCGGGGAUAACAGGCUGAUCUCCCCCAAGAGUCCACAUCGACGGGGAGGUUUGGCACCUCGAUGUCGGCUCGUCGCAUCCUGGGGCUGAAGUAGGUCCCAAGGGUUGGGCUGUUCGCCCAUUAAAGCGGCACGCGAGCUGGGUUCAGAACGUCGUGAGACAGUUCGGUCCCUAUCCGUCGCGGGCGCAGGAAAUUUGAGAGGAGCUGUCCUUAGUACGAGAGGACCGGGAUGGACUGACCUCUGGUGUACCAGUUGUUCCGCCAGGAGCAUGGCUGGGUAGCUAUGUCGGGAAG
rnacentral:rRNA from 1 species